UAAGCAUAUCAAUAAGCGGAGGAAAAGAAACCAACAGGGAUUGCCUCAGUAACGGCGAGUGAAGCGGCAAGAGCUCAAAUUUGAAAGCUGGCCCCCUCGGGGUCCGCAUUGUAAUUUGCAGAGGAUGCUUCGGGAGUGGCCCCCAUCUAAGUGCUCUGGAACGGGCCGUCAUAGAGGGUGAGAAUCCCGUAUGGGAUGGGGUGUCCGCGACCAUGUGAAGCUCCUUCGACGAGUCGAGUUGUUUGGGAAUGCAGCUCUAAAUGGGUGGUAAAUUUCAUCUAAAGCUAAAUAUUGGCCGGAGACCGAUAGCGCACAAGUAGAGUGAUCGAAAGAUGAAAAGCACUUUGAAAAGAGAGUUAAAAAGCACGUGAAAUUGUUGAAAGGGAAGCGCUUGCGACCAGACUCGCCUACGGGGUUCAGCCGGUAUUCGUACCGGUGUACUUCCCCGUGGGCGGGCCAGCGUCGGUUUGGGCGGCCGGUCAAAGGCCCUCGGAAUGUAACGCCUCUCGGGGCGUCUUAUAGCCGAGGGUGCCAUGCGGCCAGCCCGGACCGAGGAACGCGCUUCGGCACGGACGCUGGCAUAAUGGUCGUAAGCGACCCGUCUUGAAACACGGACCAAGGAGUCUAACAUCUACGCGAGUGUUCGGGUGUCAAACCCGUGCGCGCAGUGAAAGCGAACGGAGGUGGGAACCCUCACGGGUGCACCAUCGACCGAUCCUGAUGUCUUCGGAUGGAUUUGAGUAAGAGCGUAGCUGUUGGGACCCGAAAGAUGGUGAACUAUGCCUGAAUAGGGCGAAGCCAGAGGAAACUCUGGUGGAGGCUCGCAGCGGUUCUGACGUGCAAAUCGAUCGUCAAAUUUGGGUAUAGGGGCGAAAGACUAAUCGAACCAUCUAGUAGCUGGUUCCUGCCGA
rnacentral:rRNA from 1 species